rnacentral:rRNA from 1 species
AACGAACGCUGGCGGCAUGCCUAACACAUGCAAGUCGAACGAGACCUUAGGGUCUAGUGGCGCACGGGUGCGUAACGCGUGGGAAUCUGCCCUUGGGUUCGGAAUAACAGUUGGAAACGACUGCUAAUACCGGAUGAUGACGUAAGUCCAAAGAUUUAUCGCCCAGGGAUGAGCCCGCGUAGGAUUAGCUAGUUGGUGGGGUAAAGGCCUACCAAGGCGACGAUCCUUAGCUGGUCUGAGAGGAUGAUCAGCCACACUGGGACUGAGACACGGCCCAGACUCCUACGGGAGGCAGCAGUGGGGAAUAUUGGACAAUGGGCGGAAGCCUGAUCCAGCAAUGCCGCGUGAGUGAUGAAGGCCUUAGGGUUGUAAAGCUCUUUUACCCGGGAUGAUAAUGACAGUACCGGAAGAAUAAGCCCCGGCUAACUCCGUG